UCUCAUCUGUGUUUCAUUAUAAGGAAAAACAGUAAGAAUUCCAGCUUUAACCUGCUAAUAUUCCCCAUACUCAGUCUAUAAUAGCACAGAGUUCCCAGUGAGUGCUAUUGGACUUUUGUUUGGCAGGAGGGCUAUUGAUUUCAUUAAGAAGACGUGUGGAGCACAUUACAGAAUGAUGACUGCUUCAUGGGAGGUCAACAAGAAAUCAAUACAAAAUUAUAUUACAGCUUCGACUAGCUGCGGUAAGUCCAGCUACUGAGCACAGCUGCCAACACUGGACUGGAAAACGGGGGGAAGACUUUUCCUGCAGGCAUUUCUUGUGAGAACAAAACAUGGUGAGGUAAAAAAAAAGAAAAAAAAAGGACUGAGGAUUAACCCUGGCCUUGUCUGUCGGCACAAGGCUGAAGAAGUUGAAGUGGACUUUCAAACCAAAGGAACUACGAUACCACUGAUCUGUGGACUGGAGGUCUGGUCCUGAUGUGGAGGCCAGACGGGCGGGAUGGUAUGCCAGCUAAUCCUCCUUUGUCCUCCUGCUGGUGUGGGACUGGCUCCUUGGAGAGGAAGGACCUGUUCAAUAGUAAAGGGCUGAGAACAGAAGUGAUGCCUACUAUCUCACCAUAAAAAAGGAUACAUCGCAAAGAAAACCUAAAAAAGUCAUACCUUCAAGAAGAGCCCAGCGUGUGAGAGCAUGGGAGUGCAGCAGGAUAGGCUGUAUGUGUUCUUGGUUUAACCUUGUCACAUAUGAUUCAACACUUUGCAUAACACUGCCUGGAUGUAAGGCACCUCGAAUGCAAGGUCAGUGUUGUUAGUGAGAUACCCCAUUGCAUCAACACUGAAUCUAUGACAGGCAUACUUGAGCUCACCCCCCCUCCUCUGCAUUCCCUUUUCUUUUCCUAUAAUUACACCUUCCAUACUUUACAGUUUAAGAAAUUGUGUCAGUCGGUGCAGUAUCAACUCGUGCAAAGGGCUUCCUCUCCUGAAAGCAGCACAUGACACUGAACCGAUAUCUAACAUAAGUAUUUAACCAUAUUCAAACACAUAUUUCCAUUUACUAAUUUAUGUCUGAGAACACAUCCUCUUUCAGAGCAUGCGGAGGGAUAAAUCGAGCAAAUAAACAGCUUGAGGUCUACCUGCAACUGUACAUACUGAAUAAGCAACUUCAAGCAAAUCUGCAUACAUUUAUCGGAUGCCACUGUGCAUGCCUUAUUAUUAAUUUCCC